ensembl:lncRNA
GCCAGAGAGCAGUGAUUGGUCAGAUCAUAGAUACUAUAGAAGACAGCGCGCUAGCGUAUCUAGUCUGCUAUAUAUAUUUAUGGUUAGCAUGUCUGGUAACGUCUCUGGCUGCUGUUGACCUUGUUUUUGGAGUAAAACAAGGUGGAAGCUGAAUUAGUGAGGAUGACUCCUGCUCCUGUCAUCUCUAAGCUCCUCACACAUCUUUACCUGCACAUGAGGAAAAUCACUCCUGUAGAAUGCAGAUGUUCAGAGGGAGAUGAUGCCACAUCUGGUCCAGCCGAUGGAUGGUCUUGAAGUUCUCUGACUGGCCUCGACUGAAGAUGGUCGUCUCACUGGAUUUAAGAUGCACAAUGAGGGACGUCUGCAGUGACUGAGAAAGAGUCUCACCACAUCCUGACAUGAGGAAAAAGACUUUAUUGAAGACUACAAUGAGAAAAACUAUCAGACAGCAGACGGCUGCAUUCAAGGCUACAGGAGGAGCCCUAUGAGGACGAGCCAGUCCACCUGAUGGAGGCCAGUCGCUGCGGUUCAAAGCCAACACAGACUAC